AUGCCCCAGCAGAGGAUGCUAGCAGCUUCUGCUGAAAGAGGAGACUGUGCAGCUCUCCAGAUCUCACCUGCCCUGGGAGGUGUUGGGGGCCAGCAGUGUCCGUGGUCCCCUCAUCCAGCCAAAGAACAGAAGGACCUGGCAUGUGUGGCCAGAAAAGCACAGACUGCCUCUCGGUUCCUGUGGGUGUUAAUCAGCUCAUGUCACAGGCCACACAUCACACGUCAGCGCUCGGAGAUUCCGUUGACUGAGUGUGCCUCCUGCAGUGAGAACUACGUGGCUUUUGAAACAGGAGCCCAUGCAGCCAUGACCUGCAUAUGA
rnacentral:lncRNA from 1 species